rnacentral:rRNA from 1 species
UACGUAGGGCGCAAGCGUUGUCCGGAAUUAUUGGGCGUAAAGAGCUCGUAGGCGGCUUGUCACGUCGGGGGUGAAAGCCCGGGGCUUAACCCCGGGUCUGCAUUCGAUACGGGCAGGCUAGAGUGUGGUAGGGGAGAUCGGAAUUCCUGGUGUAGCGGUGAAAUGCGCAGAUAUCAGGAGGAACACCGGUGGCGAAGGCGGAUCUCUGGGCCAUCACUGACGCUGAGGAGCGAAAGCGUGGGGAGCGAACAGG